GGCCUGAUGGUCUAGGGGUAUGAUUCUCUCGCUUAGGGUGCGAGAGGUCCCGGGUUCAAAUCCCGGUCAGGCCC